rnacentral:rRNA from 1 species
AUUGAACGCUGGCGGCAUGCCUUACACAUGCAAGUCGAACGGUAACAGGUCUUCGGAUGCUGACGAGUGGCGAACGGGUGAGUAAUACAUCGGAACGUGCCCGAUCGUGGGGGAUAACGCAGCGAAAGCUGUGCUAAUACCGCAUACGAUCUACGGAUGAAAGCGGGGGAUCGCAAGACCUCGCGCGGACGGAGCGGCCGAUGGCAGAUUAGGUAGUUGGUGGGAUAAAAGCUUACCAAGCCGACGAUCUGUAGCUGGUCUGAGAGGACGACCAGCCACACUGGGACUGAGACACGGCCCAGACUCCUACGGGAGGCAG